rnacentral:rRNA from 1 species
GAUGAACGCUGGCGGCGUGCCUAACACAUGCAAGUCGAGCGAUUUACUUCGGUAAAGAGCGGCGGACGGGUGAGUAACGCGUGGGUAACCUGCCCUGUACACACGGACAACAUACCGAAAGGUAUGCUAAUACGGGAUAAUAUGUUUUGAUCGCAUGAUCGAAAUAUCAAAGCUCCGGCGGUACAGGAUGGACCCGCGUCUGAUUAGCUAGUUGGUAAGGUAACGGCUUACCAAGGCGACGAUCAGUAGCCGACCUGAGAGGGUGAUCGGCCACAUUGGAACUGAGACACGGUCCAAACUCCUACGGGUGGCAGCAGUGGGGAAUAUUGCACAAUGGGCGAAAGCCUGAUGCAGCAACGCCGCGUGAGCGAUGAAGGCCUUCGGGUCGUAAAGCUCUGUCCUCAAGGAAGAUAAUGACGGUACUUGAGGAGGAAGCCCCGGCUAACUACGUGCCAGCCGCCGCCGUAA